rnacentral:tRNA from 1 species
GCCUUCGUGGUGUAGUGGUCAUGCUCGACGCGUAACCGAGAGGUCAGUGGUUCGAUUCCCGGCGAAGGCG